rnacentral:rRNA from 1 species
UACAGAGGGUGCGAGCGUUAAUCGGAAUUACUGGGCGUAAAGCGCGCGUAGGCGGCUUUGUAAGUUAGAGGUGAAAGCCCGGGGCUUAACCCCGGGUCUGCAGUCGAUACGGGCAGGCUAGAGUUCGGUAGGGGAGAUCGGAAUUCCUGGUGUAGCGGUGAAAUGCGCAGAUAUCAGGAGGAACACCGGUGGCGAAGGCGGAUCUCUGGGCCGAUACUGACGCUGAGGAGCGAAAGCGUGGGGAGCGAACAGG